GUAGGUGGCAAGCGUUGUCCGGAAUUAUUGGGCGUAAAGCGCGCGCAGGCGGUUCUUUAAGUCUGAUGUGAAAGCCCACGGCUCAACCGUGGAGGGUCAUUGGAAACUGGAGAACUUGAGUACAGAAGAGGAAAGCGGAAUUCCACGUGUAGCGGUGAAAUGCGUAGAGAUGUGGAGGAACACCAGUGGCGAAGGCGGCUUUCUGGUCUGUAACUGACGCUGAGGCGCGAAAGCGCGGGGAGCAAACAGGAUUAGAUACCCUGGUAGUCCACGCCGUAAACGAUGAGUGCUAAGUGUUAGGGGGGUUUCCGCCCCCCUUAGUGCUGCAGCUAACGCAUUAAGCACUCCGCCUGGGAGUACGGCCGCAAGGCUG
rnacentral:rRNA from 1 species